CAACUUAUAAUGAAAAGGGUUUUCCACUGUGGUCGGGCUACCAUCUGCUUCCCUUUCUGUCGCUGAUCCCUAAAAAAAUGGCAGCUGAAUGCUCCAGCAGGGCCACCUUGUUUCAGGUGGAGGCUAUUUCAGGCAUGGAGCCACAACCUCUGGAGCAGUUUGAGAAGAAAUUGGAAGAUUUUUAUUCCCCCUGGACUGAAAAGCUUCUGAACAUGUGCUGUUAAUCCUCUCAUACUCUUCUGUUUAACUCACUGCAUGAAAUCUUGUGGGGUGGAUUUAAUUUCUGGAGGAACAAAUAUUUUCAUUCUGUUUAUCCAAUAAUAGAAAUGAGGUAAAUGAUUAUUACUGUCAGGUGUCACCCAUAACAUUGGCUAAACCCUAGUGUGACUAAAAGCAGCAUAUACAAUGUCUGAUUCUAUGCCAUAGUCCCCUGUUUAAAGAACAGUUUUGCACAAAAAUCUCAAAUGCUAUAUUUUGAAGUAAAAAUGUACAUACAAUGUGAUUAGUGAUUUAUCUAUGAUUGUCUUUGCAUUGUAGUUUAAAUUAUCGACUCAAUAAAAAACAUUUCUUA